AUCGAACGCUGGCGGCAGGCUUAACACAUGCAAGUCGAACGAGUGGCGGACGGGUGAGUAAUGCUUGGGAAUCUAGCUUAUGGAGGGGGAUAACUCCGGGAAACUGUAGCUAAUACCGCGUACCAUAGGAUGAGCCCAAGUGGGAUUAGGUAGUUGGUGAGGUAAAGGGUCACCAAGCCGACGAUCUCUAGCUGGUCUGAGGGGAUGACGAGCCACACUGGGACUGGGACACGGCCGAGACUCCUACGGCAGGCAGCGGUGGGGAAUAUUGCGCAAAGGGGGCAAUCGGACGCAGCCAUGCCGCGUGAGUGAAGCAGGCCUUCGGGUUGUAAAGUUCGUUCGGUAGCGAGGCGUUAACUACAGAAGAAGCACCGGCUAACUCCGUGCCAGCAGCCGCGGUAAUUC
rnacentral:rRNA from 1 species